rnacentral:rRNA from 1 species
GGGCCCGCACAAGCGGUGGAGCAUGUGGUUUAAUUCGAUGCAACGCGAAGAACCUUACCAGGACUUGACAUACUACAAAUUCUUUUGAGAAAAAGAAGUGCCUUCGGGAAUGUAGAUACAGGUGGUGCAUGGCUGUCGUCAGCUCGUGUCGUGAGAUGUUGGGUUAAGUCCCGCAACGAGCGCAACCCUUAUUUUUAGUUACCAAUUCGUUGGGUUCUCUAGAAAGACUGCCGGUGACAAACCGGAGGAAGGUGAGGAUGACGUCAAGUCAGCAUGCCCCUUAUGUCCUGGGCUACACACGUGCUACAAUGGUUAAGACAAAGAGUCGCGAGCUCGCAAGAGUCAGCUAAUCUCAUAAACUUAGCCUAAGUUCAGAUUGUAGGCUGCAACUCGCCUGCAUG